CUUACUAUAUACAUUAUUCUCCCACUUCUGCUCACUUUACUUUGCAUACUGUUGCAAUGUAAUGCUUGGUGCAUAAUCAUGAUUGACAGGCAGAGCAUCUUCAGAGCUAGCAGGGAAAAGAUUCCAAGUGGUUGGAGAGACAGUUUACUGGUCUCUCUUGGGGGUUGGCAGCUACCAAAGAAGCUGGAGGUGGCUGAUCUGUGCUUCUGUGGACAUCUUUGGAUCAUCUUACAAGCAGCCCUCUGAAGCAAGUGGAUAGGAGGUUUUCAAUACACUUAGGUGGAUUAAGGGACAAUAUUGGAAGCUCCAGUCAUUCUCUGGACCAUCUAGGACCCCUCAUCUGGACUUCAGCCUCUACUUGCCAAAAGACUCUAUAUGUAAAGCUCCAAAUGAGAUCACAAAAAGCUGGAUAUGACUGAAAUGGCUGAGCUACAACAAAGGGUCAGGCAGAACAGAUGGACAAGUGACUCAGAUCCAGAGAUGAAGAAAAGAAUGAGAAGAACAUAUAUUGCUUCUGGGAAAUUGCCGAGUUCCUUUAUAGUCCACAAGUUUCCCAUGAAAGCAAAGACCUGCACUUUCAAAGCCAACAUUCUUCUUGUGUUCUUUUUAUCAGCAAGUUAUGGAACACAAUAGUCAGUGAAGAAUUCAAAAUUAAUAUUAUACAGAGAGCAAUGGAAAGGCACCUAGUGGGUGUGAAGAGGCGUGGCUCAUGACCAAAGAGGAACUUUCAAGAAAAACAGGAGUAUCAUCCAGGGUUGGUAGAGAAGAGGGGCUGGUCAAAUGGCAAGGGUGAGGGAUGACAGAUGGGUCAGAGAGUGUUUCUUGGUAUAUCCCAAAUAUUAAGAGAAAGCAAGGAAGACCUUUAGGACCAUGAAUAUUCUCCCCAUAGUAAACUUUUGGGAAGACAUAGACAAGAGUCAUGAAAAACAGGAAGAUAGAAAUUAAUGACUUUACUGAAAUCAGAGGUCUAUUUGAA
rnacentral:lncRNA from 1 species